AGAACGAACGCUGGCGGCAUGCCUAAUACAUGCAAGUCGAACGAACUCUUCGGAGUUAGUGGCGCACGGGUGCGUAACGCGUGGGAAUCUGCCCUUGGGUUCGGAAUAACAGUUGGAAACGACUGCUAAUACCGGAUGAUGACGAAAGUCCAAAGAUUUAUCGCCCAGGGAUGAGCCCGCGUAGGAUUAGCUAGUUGGUGAGGUAAAGGCUCACCAAGGCGACGAUCCUUAGCUGGUCUGAGAGGAUGAUCAGCCACACUGGGACUGAGACACGGACCCAGACUCCGUACGGGA
rnacentral:rRNA from 1 species